GCAUUAGGUGCUCCUCCAUUGAAACCUGACCAACCCAUCCAAAGUAGCCCUGCUCCUGCAAGCAUCAAUAACACAUUGUUUGGUGGAAACCUUUCUCUAUCACUCUUCAGUCUUGGCCCAACCCAAUAAGCAGCGGUGAAUCCAGAAAUUCCAGCAGAAAGAUGAAUAACAUAGCCACCAGAAUAAUCAAUCACACCCCAAUGAUAAA
rnacentral:misc_RNA from 1 species